rnacentral:rRNA from 1 species
AUUGAACGCUGGCGGCAGGCUUAACACAUGCAAGUCGAGCGGAGAUGAGGUGCUUGCACCUUAUCUUAGCGGCGGACGGGUGAGUAAUGUUUAGGAAUCUGCCUAUUAGUGGGGGACAACAUUCCGAAAGGAAUGCUAAUACCGCAUACGUCCUACGGGAGAAAGCAUGGGCUCUUCGGACCUUGCGCUAAUGGAUGAGCCUAGGUCGGAUUAGCUAGUUGGUGGGGUAAAGGCCUACCAAGGCGACGAUCUGUAGCGGGUCUGAGAGGGUGAUACGCCACACUGGGACUGAGACACGGCCCAGACUCCUACGGGAGGCAGCAGUGGGGAAUAUUGGACAAUGGGGGAAACCCUGAUCCAGCCAUGCCGCGUGUGUGAAGAAGGCCUUAUGGUUGUAAAGCACUUUAAGCGAGGAGGAGGCUACUGAGACUAAUACUCUUGGAUAGUGGACGUUACUCGCAGAAUAAGCACCGGCUAACUCUGUGCCAGCCGCCGCGGUAA